AGAGCAUACGGUGGAUGCCUAGGCGCACAGGGCCGAAGAAGGACGUGGCAAGCUGCGAAAAGCUACGGGGAGCCGCAAACAGGCAUAGAUCCGUAGAUAUCCGAAUGGGGCAACCCGGCGGGGCAAACCCCCGUCACCGUUAACUGAAUCCAUAGGUUAACGGAGGGCACCCGGCGAACUGAAACAUCUUAGUAGCCGGAGGAAAAGAAAGAAAGAUCGAACCCCUCAGUAGCGGCGAGCGAAGCGGGGCGAGCCUAAACCAGUAGUGCAUGCACGACUGGGGUUGCGGGACUCUCAUCAGAUAGUGUAGUAGAUUUAGCCGAAGCGGCCUGGAAAGGCCCGGCAUAGGAGGUAAAACCCCUGUAGGCGAAAAGUCGAGGUACUACGAGAGGAUCCCAAGUACCACGGGACACGGGGAACCCUGUGGGAAUCCGGGAGGACCACCUCCCAAGGCUAAAUACCCGGUGCGACCGAUAGUGAACAAGUACCGUGAGGGAAAGGUGAAAAGCACCCCGGGAGGGGAGUGAAAGAGCACCUGAAACCGUAUGCUUACAAACAGUCAGAGCACUUUAAAUGUGUGAUGGCGUACUUUUUGUAGAACGGACCGGCGAGUUACAUUUAGCGGGCAAGGUUAAGCGUAGUAUACGCGGAGCCGCAGCGAAAGCGAGUCUUAAUAGGGCGAAUAAGUCCGUUGGAGUAGACCCGAAACCGGGUGAUCUACCCAUGUCCAGAGUGAAGCUUUAGUAAAAUAAAGUGGAGGCUCGAACCGACCGUCGUUGAAAAGGCGGCGGAUGAGGUGUGGGUAGGGGUGAAAUGCCAAUCGAACCCGGAAAUAGCUGGUUCUCCCCGAAAUAGCUUUAGGGCUAGCCUUAGGGAUGAAUACCGGAGGUAGAGCACUGACUGGGCUAGGGGUCUUCACCGAUUACCGAACCCAAUCAAACUCCGAAUGCCGGAUAUUAUGACCCUAGGAGUCAGACUGCGGGUGCUAAGAUUCGUAGUCAAGAGGGAAACAGCCCAGACCGUCGGCUAAGGUCCCAAAGAGAGGCUAAGUGGAAAAGGAUGUGGAGUUGCCCGGACAACCAGGAUGUUGGCUUAGAAGCAGCCACCAUUUAAAGAGUGCGUAAUAGCUCACUGGUCAAGUGGCUCUGCGCCGAAAAUGUAACGGGGCUAAGCCUGUCACCGAAGCUGCGGCAUCUGGUGGAAUCACUAGUGUGUUUACCCCCUGCAAAGGGAGGGAACAUUUUAGUCGCAAAUAUCGUUAAAAAUCUUUUAGAGAAUUGCGACAAAAUGCAUCCCGGGGGAUAAGCCCAGUAGCGAUUCCACCGGAUGGGUAGGGGAGCGUUCUCAUCUGGUUGAAGCAGUACCGGAAGGAGCUGUGGACGGGUGAGAAGUGAGAAUGCCGGUAUAAGUAAACGAAAAGGCAGGUGAGAAUCCUGCCCGCCGAAAGCCUAAGGUUUUCUGGGGAAGGGUCGUCCGCCCAGAGUAAGCCGGGACCUAAGCCGAGGCAGAAAUGCGUAGGCGAUGGAAAAUCGGUUGAGAAUCCGAUGCCACUCAUAGCCGAUUGAAGGAUGGGGUGACACAGGAGGGAAGGCUGAGCGCACGAAUGGAAAAGUGCGUCCAAGGAGGUAGGGUGAGAGGCAGGCAAAACCGUCUCUUAAAGAAGCCCGAGAACUGAAGGGGAGCGAAAUUAAGUAGCGAAGCAGCCGGCGCCCAAACUGUCAAGAAAAACCUCUAACGAGGCGAAUGAGUGCCCGUACCGUAAACCGACACAGGUAGGUGGGGUGAGAAUCCUAAGGCGCGCGAGAAAACCCUCGUUAAGGAACUCGGCAAAAUGACCCCGUAACUUCGGGAGAAGGGGUACCCCGUUAGCGUGAAGAACAAACGUUUGGAGCGUGAGGGGGUCGCAGAGAAAAGGCCCAAGCGACUGUUUACCAAAAACACAGGUCCCUGCAAAAUCGCAAGAUGAAGUAUAGGGGCUGACGCCUGCCCGGUGCUGGAAGGUUAAGGGGAGAGGUCAGAUGCAAAUCGAAGCUUUGAACCGAAGCCCCAGUAAACGGCGGCCGUAACUAUAACGGUCCUAAGGUAGCGAAAUUCCUUGUCGGGUAAGUUCCGACCCGCACGAAAGGCGUAACGAUUUGGGCACUGUCUCAACGAGGGACUCGGUGAAAUUGUAAUGCCGGUGAAGAUGCCGGCUACCUGCGACAGGACAGAAAGACCCCGUGGAGCUUUACUGCAACCUGACAUUGGGUUUUGGUAUUGGAUGUACAGGAUAGGUGGGAGGCAGAGAAGUCAGUACGCAAGUAUUGGCGGAGCCAACGUUGGGAUACCACCCUUUGAGUAUUGAAGUUCUAACACAGUUCCGUGGAUCCGGGACGUGGACAGUAUCAGGCGGGCAGUUUGACUGGGGCGGUCGCCUCCCAAAGAGUAACGGAGG
rnacentral:rRNA from 1 species